CAAGGAACAAGUCAUUCUAAAUGCAAAGAAAGUGGCUGAUCAAGCUGGAACAAACUCUUCUUCAAGUGGUACAGGAGUGGUUUCAUCAUCUAAUCAAUUAGCAUGGUUGGUUCAAAAUGCAGUUAAUGAGUUUGCUGAUUAUGCUCAACCUGGGGAAAUAAGUAAUUUUCUAGAAUUUGUCAAAGCUCAGUUUCCAUCAUUGAGGAAUUCUCAUGCGCCCAGUUCUUUGAAAACUGAGAACGAUAGAACUGCACAUGCCAUAGAGAUAUUAGAAAAAGAUAUGUACAUAUCCAUUCGAAAAGAGAUGAAUGAUACUAUUCUACUUUCCAGUUCUGGAGUCGAGAAUGUUGAAUUUUCAGCAGAUGAAGGUGGCCUAAAAAGCAGCAGCGGUACUGAUUCUGUAUUGCUUGGAAAAUACAUAGCUGCCUGUUCAGGGGAGAGGACAGAGCACCCUUCAUCUUCUGACAAUACUCUUGAUGACAUUGGAAGGAUGGAUUCUACUUCGCAGGUUUCUGCAUGUGAUGGAUUUGGCCCAGCUGAUUGUGAUGGUGUUUACUUGUCUUCCUGUGGACAUGCUGUGCAUCAGGGCUGCCUUGACCGAUACUUAUCGUCAUUGAAGGAAAGAUAUGUAAGAAGAAUUGUUUUCGAAGGAGGGCAUAUUGUUGACCCAGAUCAGGGUGAAUUUCUUUGCCCUGUGUGUCGUCGACUGGCCAAUUCUGUCUUGCCUUCGUCAUCUGGGGAUUUCCAGAGGGUUUGGAUGGAGCCUAUGAUAUCAACUGUUAGUUCAACAAAUGCUGUAGGACGUUUAGUCAUAUCAAUUGAGGAAAGUAAUUUGCUUUGGCUGCAACAAGCUUUGUCUCUCUUGCGAUCUGCUGCAAACAUGGUUGAAAAGGGAGAUAUUUUGAAGAUUUUUCCUCUGCAAAGAAAUGAAAGAAUGAAGCAAAAUCUUGAUUCAAUCUCUCGUGUUCUCUUUAAGAUGUACUUUCCGAGUAAUUUGUCAAGUUCCACGAGGGCAAACCAUUGCAUGAUUAUGUGGGAUACACUUAAAUAUUCCCUUAAAUCUCUGGAGAUUGCUGCGCGUUGUGGCAGGACUCACUUGACUCCCAUUUAUGGUCUUAAUGGCUUUU
rnacentral:misc_RNA from 1 species